GUUGACCUUGGGCCCUGGGCUCGGCCUACCUCGUUGUCUCCCUCCCCACGAGGGGUCCGGUUUCCUCAUCCAGAAUUACUGAUCCCUGGCACGUGUGUUGGUGGGACUGGUGCUGCGGUUCAUGCCUUCUCCGGCCCUCUGGCUGGAGUCUAGAGGAAGGCAGCCCGAGGCCGGAAGAGCCGGCCAGUCUGCCGUGAAGGACUCCCUCCCGGAAGGCCGCUUCCUGCGAGCUGCGGCGCUAGCAGGGUCUCGGGGCGGGAAGAGCAGGCAGCCCCGGAGGGCGGCCAAGCUCUGGGCUUCUCCCCCAGGACUCGGUGCACAGGAAGCCCUGGGACUCAUAAUUCCAGGAACCUCAAGCUUUCCAGAAUCUCACUGUUACCGCGCAGCGGGGCAAAAGGCUAGACUUCAUCAAUCGCUCCACAAAUAUCAAGUUGGCAGGAAAACCAGGCGCAGUGGCGCACGCCUGUAAUCCCAGAGGCUUGGAGAGGCUAGGGCAGGAGGAUCGCAAGUUCUAAGCCAGCCUCAGCAAUUUAGAAAGCCCCUAAGCAAUUUAG
rnacentral:lncRNA from 1 species